rnacentral:rRNA from 1 species
UAUUGUAGCGCGUCAUGUGGAUUGUUUAUGUUAAAUUGUAUGGAGUAUUGGACUGGAGAUAUUUUGUCUGAUAAUUUCACUCAGGUAUCUCUUUUUUUCUUAAUAACAGAUUUCAUCUCAAUGGUGCUUUUUAACAAAUUAUUUUUAAUUACUAUAUGUAGGAGGACAUGA